GACGAACGCUGGCGGCGUGCUUAACACAUGCAAGUCGAACGAAGAGCGACGGAAGCUUGCUUCUAUCAAUCUUAGUGGCGAACGGGUGAGUAACGCGUAAUCAACCUGCCCUUCAGAGGGGGACAACAGUUGGAAACGACUGCUAAUACCGCAUACGAUCUGACCUCGGCAUCGAGGAUAGAUGAAAGGUGGCCUCUACAUGUAAGCUAUCACUGAAGGAGGGGAUUGCGUCUGAUUAGCUAGUUGGAGGGGUAACGGCCCACCAAGGCGAUGAUCAGUAGCCGGUCUGAGAGGAUGAACGGCCACAUUGGGACUGAGACACGGCCCAGACUCCUACGGGAGGCAGCAGUGGGGAAUCUUCCGCAAUGGACGAAAGUCUGACGGAGCAACGCCGCGUGAGUGAUGACGGCCUUCGGGUUGUAAAGCUCUGUUAAUCGGGACGAAAGGCCUUCUUGCGAAUAGUUAGGAGGA
rnacentral:rRNA from 1 species